rnacentral:tRNA from 1 species
CUGACCUUAGCUCAGUGGUAGAGUGGUGGACUGUAGUUGGACUAAUCUAAAUUGGAAAUCCUUAGGUCGCUGGUUUGAUUCCGGCAGGUUGAU